rnacentral:rRNA from 1 species
UACGGAGGGGGCUAGCGUUGUUCGGAAUUACUGGGCGUAAAGCGCACGUAGGCGGCUUUGUAAGUUAGAGGUGAAAGCCCAGGGCUUAACUCUAGAAUUGCCUUUAAGACUGCAUCGCUAGAAUCGUGGAGAGGUGAGUGGAAUUCCGAGUGUAGAGGUGAAAUUCGUAGAUAUUCGGAAGAACACCAGUGGCGAAGGCGGCUCACUGGCCCGGUACUGACGCUGAGGUGCGAAAGCGUGGGGAGCAAACAGG